UCCCACUAAUGUAAGUGUAGUGGCUAGCACACUCGGCUCACAACCGAGAAAUCUCGGGUUCGAAUCCAGGGCGAGGAA